rnacentral:rRNA from 1 species
GUCUACAGCCAUACACCUUGAACGCGCCUGAUCUCAGAAGCUAAGCAGGAUCGGGCCUGUUAGUACUUGGAUGGGAGACCACCUGGGGAUAUCCAGUGCUAUAGGUU